AUGGGCUCCUAGAUGGUGGACUGAUUUAAUGCCUGCUGCAAUACCUCAAACUUGCAGAGAAGUUCGAUGACAGACAAGGAUCCAGUACUUGUUCUACAUAAGCAGCACCUCUUGAACUUUUAUACCCAACAAUCAGGAGGACUCUACAACUGAAAACAUGAAGGGAAACAUGUAUGAGAACUAGAUGUACAUUUACUGCACCUAGCAAGAUGAGAAAUUUCAGCCGACAUAAACACUGAGGAGGACACUUCAACUGAAAACAUGACGGGAAACGUGUAUGAGAACUAGAUAUACAUUUACUGCACCUAGCAAGAUGAGAA